AAGCUCGUAGUUGAAUUUCGGGGUUCUACCGUUGGUCGGGCUAACCAGUCUGUACUAGCGUGUAGAAUUCCUACCUUCUGGGGAACCAUCAUGUUAUCAAUUUAGCGUGGUGGGAAACCAGGACCUUUACCUUGAAAAAAAUUAGAGUGUUCAAAGCAGGCUUACGUCUGAAUACAUUAGCAUGGAAUAAUAAAAUAGGACGGUGGUCCCGUUUUGUUGGUUUCUGAAUCACCGUAAUGAUUAAUAGGGAUAGUUGGG
rnacentral:rRNA from 1 species